CAGCACCUCAAGUGGUCAGGAUGAUUAUUGGGCCUAAAGCAUCCGUAGCCGGCGCUGUAAGUUUUCGGUUAAAUCUGUACGCUCAACGUACAGGCUGCCGGGAAUACUACAAAGCUAGGGAGUGGGAGAGGUAGACGGUACUCGGUAGGAAGGGGUAAAAUCCUUUGAUCUAUUGAUGACCACCUGUGGCGAAGGCGGUCUACCAGAACACGUCCGACGGUGAGGGAUGAAAGCUGGGGGAGCAAACCGGAUUAGAUACCCGAGUAGUCC
rnacentral:rRNA from 1 species